rnacentral:lncRNA from 1 species
GCCGUGACUUCCAACACUGUUUUAUAACUUUCAGCAUUGCUUCAUGAUAUCUUAUAUUGUUUUAUGACUGGCCUUAACUUCCGACACUAUUUUAUGACUACUUAGAAUGUUUCAUGACAUCUGAAAGUCAUUUUAUGACUUUCGAUAAUGUUUUAUGACUUCAUGCAUUAAUGAAUUCUGGCAUCGUGUUAUGAUAUCGUGCCGUUUUAUGAUAUCGUGCCGUUUUAUGACUUUCUGCAUUGUUUUAUAAUAUUCUAUACUAAAUACCAACUGACAGAGGUAAUUAAACGUUGUGCACUGAGCUCAAUUAUAAGAACACAUACAAGAAUACACUAAUGCAGUUAGUUAACACC